AGAGUUUGAUCAUGGCUCAGGAUGAACGCUGGCGGCGUGCUUAACACAUGCAAGUCGAACGCUGAAGCUCCCAGCUUGCUGGGGGUGGAUGAGUGGCGAACGGGUGAGUAUCACGUGAGUAACCUGCCCUUGACUCUGGGAUAAGCCCGGGAAACUGGGUCUAAUACUGGAUAGGACUGGCCAUCGCAUGGUGGUUGGUUGAAAGCUUUUGCGGUUUUGGAUGGACUCGCGGCCUAUCAGCUUGUUGGUGGGGUAAUGGCCUACCAAGGCUUUGACGGGUAGCCGGCCUGAGAGGGUGACCGGCCACACUGGGACUGAGACACGGCCCAGACUCCUACGGGAGGCAGCAGUGGGGGAUAUUGCACAAUGGGCGCAAGCCUGAUGCAGCGACGCCGCGUGAGGGAUGACGGCCUUCGGGUUGUAAACCUCUUUCAGUUGGGAAGAAGCCUUUCGGGGUGACGGUACCUUCAGAAGAAGCACCGGCUAACUACGUGCCAGCAGCCGCGGUAAUACGUAGGGUGCGAGCGUUAUCCGGAAUUAUUGGGCGUAAAGAGCUCGUAGGCGGUUUGUCACGUCUGCUGUGAAAGCUCGGGGCUUAACUCCGAGUGUGCAGUGGGUACGGGCAGGCUGGAGUGCAGUAGGGGAGACUGGAAUUCCUGGUGUAGCGGUGAAAUGCGCAGAUAUCAGGAGAAACACCGAUGGCGAAGGCAGGUCUCUGGGCUGUUACUGACGCUGAGGA
rnacentral:rRNA from 1 species